rnacentral:rRNA from 1 species
UACGAAGGGAGCUAGCGUUGUUCGGAAUCACUGGGCGUAAAGCGCACGUAGGCGGAUUUGCCAGUCAGGGGUGAAAUCCCGGGGCUCAACCUCGGAACUGCCUUUGAUACUGGCAAUCUUGAGUCCGGGAGAGGUGAGUGGAACUCCUAGUGUAGAGGUGAAAUUCGUAGAUAUUAGGAAGAACACCAGUGGCGAAGGCCGCUCACUGGCCCGAUACUGACGCUGAUGCACGGAAGCGUGGGGAGCAAACAGG